rnacentral:rRNA from 1 species
AGAGUUUGAUCAUGGCUCAGGAUGAACGCUGGCGGCGUGCUUAACACAUGCAAGUCGAACGAAGCACCUUAUCACGAUUCUUUCGGGAUGACGAUCUGGUGACUGAGUGGCGGACGGGUGAGUAACGCGUGGGUAACCUACCUCACACAGGGGGAUAACAGUUAGAAAUGACUGCUAAUACCGCAUAAGCGCACAGUACCGCAUGGUACGGUGUGAAAAACUCCGGUGGUGUGAGAUGGACCCGCGUCUGAUUAGCUGGUUGGUGAGGUAACGGCUCACCAAGGCGACGAUCAGUAGCCGGCCUGAGAGGGUGAACGGCCACAUUGGAACUGAGACACGGUCCAAACUCCUACGGGAGGCAGCAGUGGGGAAUAUUGCACAAUGGGGGAAACCCUGAUGCAGCGACGCCGCGUGAGUGAAGAAGUAUUUCGGUAUGUAAAGCUCUAUCAGCAGGGAAGAUAAUGACCGUACCUGACUAAGAAGCCCCGGCUAACUACGUGCCAGCAGCCGCGGUAAUACGUAGGGGGCAAGCGUUAUCCGGAUUUACUGGGUGUAAAGGGUGCGUAGGUGGUAUGGCAAGUCAGAAGUGAAAACCCGGGGCUCAACCCCGAGGAUUGCUUUUGAAACUGUCAAACUAGAGUACAGGAGAGGUAAGCGGAAUUCCUAGUGUAGCGGUGAAAUGCGUAGAUAUUAGGAGGAACACCAGUGGCGAAGGCGGCUUACUGGCCUGUAACUGACACUGAGGCACGAAAGCGUGGGGAGCAAACAGGAUUAGAUACCCUGGUAGUCC